CCAGGUUUCCAUCAGGCUGCAGAACUGGGCUGACAUCAGAAUCCAAACAUCCUCUGGUCAGUGCAAACAGAGGCAUUCCUCUAAUGAUUUGGACUUUAUGU